CCUACGGGAGGCAGCAGUAGGGAAUCUUCCGCAAUGGACGAAAGUCUGACGGAGCAACGCCGCGUGAGUGAUGAAGGUUUUCGGAUCGUAAAACUCUGUUGUCAGGGAAGAACAAGUUCUGUUCGAACAGGGCAGAACCUUGACGGUACCUGACCAGAAAGCCCCGGCUAACUACGUGCCAGCAGCCGCGGUAAU
rnacentral:rRNA from 1 species